ensembl:lncRNA
UCUGAAUCACUCCAAAAGGAACCAGACUUAGACAUCCAUGCAAGCAGCCUAAAAAUGAAGAACUUCCGUGUCAUCUAAGAGGAAGGGACAUGAUGAUGGCCUGCUCUCGUCUCAGUCUAAGCACAGCUCUGCACAGCAAGGAGGAAAGAUCAUACUUCCUACACAAACUCCAACCCAGAACCACCUGUCAAAGUAAAAUCGGACAUUGCAAAUCUCAACCAUUGUUUUGCCAAUUCUGUGGGAGAUCCUUACUUCUCAUGAGACAGGGAGAAACUGAUGCUUCUGUGAGCAAGAGCAAGUAGAGGAGAGUAUAAAAUAAAAUAUAAUCUAAAAAAAUGUUUUAGACAAUGGAGAUAUGAUUGGCAAAGGCCAUGGAGGCACCUUGGAAUUUUGGAUUGGUCCAAUGAUGGACCACAUCACUGUAACUCUUGAGAUAAUUAGGUUGGUACAAAAGUAAUUGCAAUUUCAG